GACAGAGGUGCUGAGCGUUAGGCGGAAUCACUGGGCUUAAAGCGUGUGUAGGCGGAUUUGUAAGUACCUUGUGAAAUCCCACGGCUCAACCGUGGAACUGCUUGGUAUACUGCUUAUCUUGGGCCAUCUAGGGGCUAGCGGAACAAACGGUGGAGCGGUGAAAUGCGUAGAUAUCGUUUGGAACGCCAAUGGUGAAAACAGCUAGCUGGGGAUGUGCCGACGCUGAGACACGAAAGCCAGGGGAGCGAACGGG
rnacentral:rRNA from 1 species